rnacentral:rRNA from 1 species
CCCCUAGAUGUUCUGGGCCGCACGCGCGCUACACUGAACAGUUCAACAAGUCUUAACCUUGGCCGAUAGGUCUGGGUAAUCUUUGAACGCUGUUCGUGAUUGGGAUAGACCUUUGCAAUUAUGGGUCUUCAACGAGGAAUUCCUAGUAAACGCAGAUCAUCAAUCUGCAUUGAUUACGUCCCUGCCCUUUGUACACACCGCCCGUCGCACCUACCGAUUGGAUGGUCCGGUGAAGCCUCGGGAUUGUGGUUCUUGCCGCUUUAUUGUGGCGUGACCGCGAGAACUUGUCUAAACCUUAUCAUCUAGAGGAAGGUGAAGUCGUAACA